rnacentral:misc_RNA from 1 species
UUAAGUUCAGCGGGUAUCCCUACCUGAUCCGAGGUCAACCUUAUGAAGCUUGCCCGGGGGGCAACGGUUUUGACGGCGUGGCCGCGCCGCGCUCCAGUGCGAGAUGUGCUACUACGCAGGGGAGGCUGCAGCGAGACCGCCACUAGUUUUCAGAGCCGGCCGCGCUCGGUGAGCGGGGGGCCGAGCCCCAACACCAAGCC